ACGUUUAAGACUAAGACGUUGAUAGGCUGGGUGUGUAAGCGUAGCGAUACGUUGAGCUAACCAGUACUAAUGAUCCGUGAGGCUUAACCUUACAACACCGAAGGUGUUU
rnacentral:rRNA from 1 species